AGGCUGAAUUACGCUCAAUGCAAGAAGCAGCACAGUGGAGAAGAUCCCAAGGCAUAUCAAUGGAAGGCGAUGCAGAGCUCCUAGCAGCAAACCGAGGUUAAACCUGUACCUAAGAGACGAGUGGAUGACGAACCCUUCCUCCUGAAAGAAAGACCGGGGUGCCUGUGCAGCAAUCAACCACGACAUUUAGCAGAAAUGCUAGAGAAGGACGCGGAGACACUACAGCCUGGACUGAUACUCCUAUGGACAAGCUGAAAGAGCAAAGAUGAA